CCUACGGGGGGCAUCAGUAAGGAAUAUUGGUCAAUGGACGCAAGUCUGAACCAGCCAUGCCGCGUGGAGGAUUAAGGCCCUCUGGGUUGUAAACUCCUUUUAUCUGGGAAGAAAUGUACUUUUUCUUGAGUACUUGACGGUACCAGAGGAAUAAGCACCGGCUAACUCCGUGCCAGCAGCCGCGGUAAUACGGAGGGUGCAAGCGUUAUCGGGAUUCACUGGGGCGUAGGUGUGCAUAGAUGUGCAGGUAGAAAUCUCCGGGCUUAACCCGGAAACUGCCGUUGAUACUAUUUAUCUUGAAUAUUGUGGAGGUAAGCGGAAUAUGUCAUGUAGCGGUGAAAUGCUUAGAUAUGACAUAGAACACCAAUUGCGAAGGCAGCUUACUACACAAUCAUUGACGCUGAGGCACGAAAGCGUGGGGAUCAAACAGGAUUAGAUACCCCUGUAGUC
rnacentral:rRNA from 1 species